CAGUAGCCGCGGGAAUACGGGGGGGGCAAGUAUUAUUCGGAAUGACUGGGCGUAAAGGGCACGUAGGCGGUGAAAAGGGUGGAAAGUGAAAGUCUCCAAAACACUGGCGGGGUGCUUUCUUGACCAUUUCACUUGAGUGAGAUAGGGGAGAGUGGAAUUUCGUGUGGAGGGAUCAAAUCCUAAGAUAUACGAAGGAACGCCAACCGCGAAGGCAGCUCUCUGGGUCCCCACUGACGCUGGGGUGCGAAAGCAUGGGGAGCAAACAGGAUCAGAUACCCGUGUAGUCCCUGUCUCUUAUACA
rnacentral:rRNA from 1 species